GAAAGUGCUUCACUGGCAGGGAAGGACGUCACUCCCUUUUCAGUGUUCGAAGGAUAUACCAGAGACUGUAUACUCGAGGUUUUGUAGACAUGGCACAAACACAUGAGUCAUGGAAAAAAUUCUUUGUGUGGGAAGCAGGAAAAACAAAUGGGGCCCAACUUCCAGUUGUUCAAAUGCUCAAAAGUAUUGGACAAACAGACGUGACCUCUGCAACGGAAUGUGACUACCUUCUAGUCUUCUGUCCUGUUGUUUCACGAGUUGGAACGGACAUCGGCGAGGCCCUGCACAACAUAACUCCUGGCAAACCAGUAAUACUGGUAGUGAUGCAUCACACCUUCAAUCCUCACCAUGUUGUAGCUGAAAGCCGGAGGCAGGUGGACAACCCAAAUGUCCACCUAACUGUGGACUGUCUGUUUCAUGAAGGCCGUCUCCUCAAUUGCAACCUCAAUGAUACCAUGUCGAGUGACAUCAAAAGAUUUUUUGGUUCUGAAUCCCCAGCUCCAGCCUUAAUUCACAACUUGAUGUCUUUGUGGCAACGCAUCCCAAGUUUCUUUUUAGGUUUCUUCAUCUGGAAAAUAUUUGGACUUUGUUGCUCCAGUAUUUGGAAUUUAUUCAUGUCGUAGCCGGAAAGCCUGUAUGCUGCAACCUUCUACACCAUUCAAGUCAUUGCCAACUGCAUCAACCUUUUUGCGGAUGUGCACAUCAGGUUGUGUGGGAGGUGACGGCACUGAGUUAAAAUGACUUUUCAGUUACAAUGUAAAUUCCUGUACAAGUCUAAUUCACACAUAAGUUAGCAUGGUAGAAAAGGAUUUCUUGAUGUAUGCUCAACCAUCCUGGUAAGUAAAUCCCAAAAGGUUGAUUCCACAACCUUAUAAACAGCACAUUUGCAGUCAUUGUGCAAAUGUACUGUUUAUAAAGUUGGGGAAACCAGCAGUCAGCUGAGACUGAAGAAGUCACUUGGAUGGGUGAUGAAAAUGUUUUUUUUUGAAAAUGCUACGUCCAGAUGAACGGAAUCAACCUUCUGGGGUAGAGUAACAUCUAGAUGUUGGUUGUCCAUGCUGUCUCACCAAAAUAAAAAGAAUAUUUUUUUUGUGGUCACUUUGGUUUCUCCCUCUAAAUAAUGAGGUUAUUUAAUAUUGUACUAGUGUUUAUAUCUAUUUUGUUCAUGAACUGAUAAAAAAAGAGGUAAAGGAAAGGAUACAUGACUAUGCCUAAAUCUUUGUUUACCUAUAUUCUGUCAUUUGUGCGUGAGUGGUAAAAAUAACAGAUAAGUUACUCUUCUGUUUUCAUUUUACUUUUAGGUUUAGGUAGCCCCAUCUGGAAAAAAAUCAGACCUUGCUUGAAUCCUCUGGUACAUAUGGCUGGAUUGAUUAUUCCUUUGCUGAUGGCAGUUGUGACAUCAUUCAGCUCCAAAAUAUGGAAGAGAAAUAAAAGCGGGAAAUGAGGACUGCAAAACAAAAUCCAAAUGCAAUAAUUUAACAAUAUCACAGUAUGUUUUCUUGAUACUGUAUAUAAAACAAAAUAUAAGUAAUAUAUCCUGCCUUUGUAAUCAUUAAAGAUGUGUUAGUUAUGUGUUAUUGUUAUGAAAGCUGGUAUAGAUGUUUUAGGGAUGAAUCUUUUGAUCAUUGGUACUGUAGCAUGUUAAAGAUGAAAUGUUGCUUUACUCACAUGUCCAAGGCAAGACUGAAAAGUGAGCUUUAAGAAAACAGAACCAUUUCUUUCCCAGUUAUUGCAGACAUGCUUAUAUAUUUUAAAAUAAUAAAUUUAUUGAGAGGAUAUCUUGGUGUCAUUUGUUGCUUUUGUUCAUUCUGAAUUAGUGACAUUAAAAACUGUUUCUGAUUUAGGGUUAGACGUUACAGCUGUAACAAAUUGCAAAAUUGCAUUUUCGCUUAAAAUCUUGAAUUAAAAUGUACACACAAUGAGAAUGUUAAGCGUGGAACACAAUAAAACCAGAGACUGCCCCGCCCCUGACCCUUUUUUUUAAUAAAUAUUGAGAAGUGAACCUAGAAGAGCAUAUUAGUGUGUGGUUCAACUUUAUGCAAUUUAACUUUCUGAAAAGAAAGAAAACAAGAGCCAUAUUGAGAAAUCUCUGCUGAUAAUGAUGCACACCCUUUUUCACACCUUGGCUCAUGUGAUGAGGCACAUGGUCAACAGUGGGUCAACGUCCCUCUUAAGAGACAACUCCAACUAGGGCUUAAUACCUGGGACUCUCCAGCAUUUGG
ensembl:lncRNA